GGGCACUGUACCUAUACAGAUACUCCUACGAGCUGUGGCUACACCUGGACAAAGAGGUAUUCUAGUGGUUUACGUCUCUUCCUAUUCAAAAAACUGUUCCU